rnacentral:rRNA from 1 species
GACGAACGCUGGCGGCGUGCUUAACACAUGCAAGUCGAACGGAAAGGCCCUGCUUUUGUGGGUGCUCGAGAGGCGAACGGGUGAGUAACACGUGAGUAACCUGCCCUUGACUUUGGGAUAACUUCAGGAAACUGGGGCUAAUACCGGAUAGGAGCUCCUGCUGCAUGGUGGGGGUUGGAAAGUUUCGGCGGUUGGGGAUGGACUCGCGGCUUAUCAGCUUGUUGGUGGGGUAGUGGCUUACCAAGGCUUUGACGGGUAGCCGGCCUGAGAGGGUGACCGGCCACAUUGGGACUGAGAUACGGCCCAGACUCCUACGGGAGGCAGCAGUGGGGAAUAUUGCACAAUGGGCGGAAGCCUGAUGCAGCAACGCCGCGUGCGGGAUGACGGCCUUCGGGUUGUAAACCGCUUUCGCCUGUGACGAAGCGUGAGUGACGGUAAUGGGUAAAGAAGCACCGGCUAACUACGUG